rnacentral:lncRNA from 1 species
CAGUCAACCUGCUUUCACUGCGGCAAGGCAGGUCAUUGGAAAAGGAAUUGCAAGGUUUACCUUGUAACAGUGAAGACUGGUGCAAAUAAUGCACCAAAAGGUAUGUAUGAGAUACAUACAAUAUUAUCAUUGAAUUCUUCCAUUUCAAACUCUUGGGUAUUGGAUACCGCCUGUGAUUUUCAUAUCUACAAAUCAUUGCAGGGGCUGCAGAAAAUUAGAAGUUUGAGGAAGGA